rnacentral:lncRNA from 10 species
AGAAGUCUGGGGAAGAGCCGGCGAAGAGCAAAGAGAUAAUACAGUACUCCCAGCUAUAGCAAGCGGCAGUUAUGGAGCAUGCGCAGCAGCAGGGGCGGCCGCAGUCAAGGGAUUUGUACAGCCCUGUAGGAGACACCUCCAGAGAAAGUAACAGCUCUCAAUUGAUUAGCUGAGCCAGAAUUAGCUUCUGUUACUUACAACUGUGAGUCCUGACUGAAAACAUAUUUCUUCCUUUGAAGAACUGUUACCUGUAACAGGCUAAGAAGAAUAUUAAGAAUAAACAGAUGCUUUUACAGCUCGCCUUGGCGGGAAGAUCUGGCACAAAUGAAGUAUCUAUAAGGAGCAGCAGAGUCAAGGUGGUGAUCCUGUGGAUGAAUAACUGAAACCUGAUAUACUUGACAGCAGAAAAUAUAAAGCAAAUUGAAAAGGAGAGAGUGUGGAGAUAAAUAAGAAAAUGAAAGAACUGAUAAAGUCACUUGGAUUAAAAAACCUGGGAGUAAGGGCUUUGUUUAUGAUUGAACUUAAGAGAGAAUUGAGGGACCACCUACCUUUGAUGUUAACGAGAAAGUAAAGAGGAAACAUAUUUAGAGAUACCCUUUGGUGAAAAACAGAAAUGGAUGUGUCAUUUGAUGCAUCACAUUAUUUAUUCAACAAACUCUUAGUGAGAACUUACUGUGUAUGAAAGACUGGACUGAAACAUAUAUAAGAAAUAAUUUUUGGCCCAAGGAAUUUAUAGUAUAAUUGAGGAAACAAAUACAAAUCACUUCUGCAAAGUAGCAGAGACACAGAUGAGGAAUUGUAAUGUUUGUAAAAUCAAAGUGGUGGGAGUAGUCAAAAAAGUGUUUACAGAAUGGUAUUCAAAAUGGGCCUG